rnacentral:rRNA from 1 species
GACGAACGCUGGCGGCGUGCUUAACACAUGCAAGUCGAACGGAAAGGCCCUGCUUUUGUGGGGUGCUCGAGUGGCGAACGGGUGAGUAACACGUGAGUAACCUUCCCUUGACUUUGGGAUAACUUCAGGAAACUGGGGCUAAUACCGGAUAGGAGCUCCUGCUGCAUGGUGGGGGUUGGAAAGUUUCGGCGGUUGGGGAUGGACUCGCGGCUUAUCAGCUUGUUGGUGGGGUAGUGGCUUACCAAGGCUUUGACGGGUAGCCGGCCUGAGAGGGUGACCGGCCACAUGGGGACUGAGAUACGGCCCAGACUCCUACGGGAGGCAGCAGUGGGGAAUAUUGCACAAUGGGCGGAAGCCUGAUGCAGCAACGCCGCGUGCGGGAUGACGGCCUUCGGGUUGUAAACCGCUUUCGCCUGUGACGAAGAGUGAGUGACGGUAAUGGGUAAAGAAGCACCGGCUAACUACGUG